rnacentral:rRNA from 1 species
AGAUUAAGUUAUUAAGGGCGCACGGUGGAUGCCUUGGCACUAGAAGCCGAUGAAGGACGUUACUAACGACGAUAUGCUUUGGGUAGCUGUAAGUAAGCGUUGAUCCAGAGAUUUCCGAAUGGGGGAACCCAGCAUGAGUUAUGUCAUGUUAUCGACAUGUGAAUUCAUAGCAUGUCAGAAGGCAGACCCGGAGAACUGAAACAUCUUAGUACCCGGAGGAAGAGAAAGAAAAAUCGAUUCCCUGAGUAGCGGCGAGCGAAACGGGAAGAGCCCAAACCAACAAGCUUGCUUGUUGGGGUUGUAGGACACUCUAUACGGAGUUACAAAAGAACAUGUUAGACGAAUCAUCUGGAAAGAUGAAUCAAAGAAGGUAAUAAUCCUGUAGUCGAAAACAUAUUCUCUCUUGAGUGGAUCCUGAGUACGACGGAGCACGUGAAAUUCCGUCGGAAUCUGGGAGGACCAUCUCCUAAGGCUAAAUACUCUCUAGUGACCGAUAGUGAACCAGUACCGUGAGGGAAAGGUGAAAAGUACCCCGGAAGGGGAGUGAAAGAGAACUUGAAACCGUGUGCUUACAAGUAGUCAGAGCCCGUUAAUGGGUGAUGGCGUGCCUUUUGUAGAAUGAACCGGCGAGUUACGAUCUGAUGCAAGGUUAAGCAGCAAAUGUGGAGCCGCAGCGAAAGCGAGUCUGAAUAGGGCGUUGAGUAUUUGGUCGUAGACCCGAAACCAGGUGAUCUACCCUUGGUCAGGUUGAAGUUCAGGUAACACUGAAUGGAGGACCGAACCGACUUACGUUGAAAAGUGAGCGGAUGAACUGAGGGUAGCGGAGAAAUUCCAAUCGAACUUGGAGAUAGCUGGUUCUCUCCGAAAUAGCUUUAGGGCUAGCCUCAAGUGAUGAUUAUUGGAGGUAGAGCACUGUUUGGACGAGGGGCCCCUCUCGGGUUACCGAAUUCAGACAAACUCCGAAUGCCAAUUAAUUUAACUUGGGAGUCAGAACAUGGGUGAUAAGGUCCGUGUUCGAAAGGGAAACAGCCCAGACCACCAGCUAAGGUCCCAAAAUAUAUGUUAAGUGGAAAAGGAUGUGGCGUUGCCCAGACAACUAGGAUGUUGGCUUAGAAGCAGCCAUCAUUUAAAGAGUGCGUAAUAGCUCACUAGUCGAGUGACACUGCGCCGAAAAUGUACCGGGGCUAAACAUAUUACCGAAGCUGUGGAUUGUCCUUUGGACAAUGGUAGGAGAGCGUUCUAAGGGCGUCGAAGCAUGAUCGCAAGGACAUGUGGAGCGCUUAGAAGUGAGAAUGCCGGUGUGAGUAGCGAAAGACGGGUGAGAAUCCCGUCCACCGAUUGACUAAGGUUUCCAGAGGAAGGCUCGUCCGCUCUGGGUUAGUCGGGUCCUAAGCUGAGGCCGACAGGCGUAGGCGAUGGAUAACAGGUUGAUAUUCCUGUACCACCUAGUAUCGUUUUAAUCGAUGGGGGACGCAGUAGGAUAGGCGAAGCGUGCUGUUGGAGUGCACGUCCAAGCAGUAAGGCUGAGUGUUAGGCAAAUCCGGCACUCAUAAGGCUGAGCUGUGAUGGGGAGAGGAAAUUGUUUCCUCGAGUCGUUGAUUUCACACUGCCGAGAAAAGCCUCUAGAUAGAUAACAGGUGCCCGUACCGCAAACCGACACAGGUAGUCAAGAUGAGAAUUCUAAGGUGAGCGAGCGAACUCUCGUUAAGGAACUCGGCAAAAUGACCCCGUAACUUCGGGAGAAGGGGUGCUCUUUAGGGUUCACGCCCAGAAGAGCCGCAGUGAAUAGGCCCAAGCGACUGUUUAUCAAAAACACAGGUCUCUGCUAAACCGUAAGGUGAUGUAUAGGGGCUGACGCCUGCCCGGUGCUGGAAGGUUAAGAGGAGUGGUUAGCUUCUGCGAAGCUACGAAUCGAAGCCCCAGUAAACGGCGGCCGUAACUAUAACGGUCCUAAGGUAGCGAAAUUCCUUGUCGGGUAAGUUCCGACCCGCACGAAAGGCGUAACGAUUUGGGCACUGUCUCAACGAGAGACUCGGUGAAAUCAUAGUACCUGUGAAGAUGCAGGUUACCCGCGACAGGACGGAAAGACCCCGUGGAGCUUUACUGUAGCCUGAUAUUGAAAUUCGGCACAGCUUGUACAGGAUAGGUAGGAGCCUUUGAAACGUGAGCGCUAGCUUACGUGGAGGCGUUGGUGGGAUACUACCCUAGCUGUGUUGGCUUUCUAACCCGCACCACUUAUCGUGGUGGGAGACAGUGUCAGGCGGGCAGUUUGACUGGGGCGGUCGCCUCCUAAAAGGUAACGGAGGCGCUCAAAGGUUCCCUCAGAAUGGUUGGAAAUCAUUCAUAGAGUGUAAAGGCAUAAGGGAGCUUGACUGCGAGACCUACAAGUCGAGCAGGGUCGAAAGACGGACUUAGUGAUCCGGUGGUUCCGCAUGGAAGGGCCAUCGCUCAACGGAUAAAAGCUACCCCGGGGAUAACAGGCUUAUCUCCCCAAGAGUUCACAUCGACGGGGAGGUUUGGCACCUCGAUGUCGGCUCAUCGCAUCCUGGGGCUGUAGUCGGUCCCAAGGGUUGGGCUGUUCGCCCAUUAAAGCGGUACGCGAGCUGGGUUCAGAACGUCGUGAGACAGUUCGGUCCCUAUCCGUCGUGGGCGUAGGAAAUUUGAGAGGAGCUGUCCUUAGUACGAGAGGACCGGGAUGGACAUACCUCUGGUGUACCAGUUGUCGUGCCAACGGCAUAGCUGGGUAGCUAUGUAUGGACGGGAUAAGUGCUGAAAGCAUCUAAGCAUGAAGCCCCCUCAAGAUGAGAUUUCCCAACUUCGGUUAUAAGAUCCCUCGAAGAUGACGAGGUUAAUAGGUUCGAGGUGGAAGCGUGGUGACACGUGGAGCUGACGAAUACUAAUCGAUCGAAGACUUAAUCAAUUU